AACGAACGCUGGCGGCAGGCUUAACACAUGCAAGUCGAGCGCCCCGCAAGGGGAGCGGCAGACGGGUGAGUAACGCGUGGGAACGUACCUUUUGGUUCGGAACAACUCCGGGAAACUGGAGCUAAUACCGGAUAAGCCCUAACGGGGAAAGAUUUAUCGCCGACAGAUCGGCCCGCGUCUGAUUAGCUAGUUGGUGAGGUAACGGCUCACCAAGGCGACGAUCAGUAGUUGGUCUGAGAGGAUGAUCAGCCACACUGGCACUGAGACACGGCCCAGACUCCUACGGGAGGCAGCAGUGGGGAAUAUUGGACAAUGGGCGCAAGCCUGAUCCAGCCAUGCCGCGUGAGUGAUGAAGGCCUUAGGGUUGAAAAGCGCUUUUGUCCGGGAAGAUAAUGACUGUACCGGAAGAAUAAGCCCCGGCUAACUUCGUG
rnacentral:rRNA from 1 species